rnacentral:rRNA from 1 species
GAUGAACGCUGGCGGCGUGCCUAAUACAUGCAAGUCGAGCGAACGGACGAGAAGCUUGCUUCUCUGAUGUUAGCGGCGGACGGGUGAGUAACACGUGGAUAACCUACCUAUAAGACUGGGAUAACUUCGGGAAACCGGAGCUAAUACCGGAUAAUAUUUUGAACCGCAUGGUUCAAAAGUGAAAGACGGUCUUGCUGUCACUUAUAGAUGGAUCCGCGCUGCAUUAGCUAGUUGGUAAGGUAACGGCUUACCAAGGCGACGAUGCAUAGACGACCUGAGAGGGUGAUCGGCCACACUGGAACUGAGACACGGUCCAGACUCCUACGGGAGGCAGCAGUAGGGAAUCUUCCGCAAUGGGCGAAAGCCUGACGGAGCAACGCCGCGUGAGUGAUGAAGGUCUUCGGAUCGUAAAACUCUGUUAUUAGGGAAGAACAUAUGUGUAAGUAACUGUGCACAUCUUGACGGUACCUAAUCAGAAAGCCACGGCUAACUACGUG